UGCAUGGGAAGAAGAUCGCUAUCUACCUCGCCGGCGGAGUGGUCAGACAACCUGCAACAUCGCUGCACCACUUGGGGUAGGGAACCCCAAGAUCCAACCCACCUUGGCAUGCUUGGCUCAAACCAACACUGACUUAGAUCGAGUCUCAGAUGAGCUAGAUGCCCUGAGGAAGGCCUACCUUGAGUUGGCUGUUGAGAACGCCAAGUUGAAGCAACAGCAGGGGAGUCAUGUUGAGGAAGUACCACUCAUCCUUGCAGAGUCACCCCCAAGGAACCAUGAGGACCCCAACACCGGCACCAACCUUGACCCCUAGGAGGAUUUUCCCCACUUGUAAUAAGUACGCAUAGAGAUGCGAGAGUGUGUUUUUAUUUUCUACUGAUUGAACAAUUGUUAUUACGUGAAUGCAUGUUUGUAAUAAUGCUUAAUGGGUGAGUUGGAUUUUUGUCAUGAUUUCAAUGAUUGUGGGCAUGUCCGCAGUCAUUUAGAUUUGGGUUAAGGUCUAAGGAUAAUAUGAAUAAAUAGUUGGGUUUACUUAUAUCCUGCUGUCCACCCAUGUUUCUCCCUCUGAGCAGUCUGCCUUAAUAUUUGUAUAUCCCGAGUUCUGGAUGGUCUAAAAAUACAAAAAAAAAAUUGGAAUAAAAUAGACUUCUAUAUCUUUCAUUUGGCUCUGGAACUGCCACAAUAUCUGUUACCCUUUGAGAGAUAAAAUUGUUACAAGGUGACCUCUCUGUGCAGUCAGAAAUUCCAGAACAGUAAAAGUUGUCGCCUGUUUUUACCUAUGUAAACGCCAGAAUUGGAGAAAACGAUCUCAAUGAAAGUUGUAGGAAAAAUUUUCGAGCUUUCCAGAAAGUUAAAUUUCGCAGUCAGACGUUAAACAGAGAGAAAGAUAUGCUUGUUUUACUUCACUGUGGUGUC
rnacentral:lncRNA from 1 species